rnacentral:rRNA from 1 species
GACGAACGCUGGCGGCGUGCUUAACACAUGCAAGUCGAACGGAAAGGCCCUGCUUUUGUGGGGUGCUCGAGUGGCGAACGGGUGAGUAACACGUGAGUAACCUGCCCUUGACUUUGGGAUAACUUCAGGAAACUGGGGCUAAUACCGGAUAGGAGCUCCUGCUGCAUGGUGUGGGUUGGAAAGUUUCGGCGGUUGGGGAUGGACUCGCGGCUUAUCAGCUUGUUGGUGGGGUAGUGGCUUACCAAGGCUUUGAAGGGUAGCCGGCCUGAGAGGGUGACCGGCCACAUGGGGACUGAGAUAGGGCCCAGACGCCUACGGGAGGCAGCAGGGGGGAAUUUUGCACAAUGGGCGGAAGCCUGAGGCAGCAACGCCGCGUGCGGGAUGACGGCCUUCGGGUGGAAAACCGCUUUCGCCUGUGACGAAGCGUUAGUGACGGUAAUGGGUAAAGAAGCACCGGCUAACUACGUG